GGAGAGGUGGCCGAGCGGUUUAAGGCGUACGCCUGGAGAGUGUAUGUGCCUGCAAGGGCACCGUGGGUUCAAAUCCCACCCUCUCCG
rfam:Elusimicrobia bacterium RIFOXYA2_FTLL_40_6 rifoxya2_full_scaffold_640, whole genome shotgun sequence.